AUGAAAAAUCUUCAAAUUAUUAAAAGCAAACAUUUCAGUAUGAUUCUUUUCCAAAGCCACUAUGAGAAGAUUAUAGGAAAAACACCAAGACUAGAGGACUCUGGGUUCCUUUUAUGCAAAGUCAACUCUUCUGGGUCACAGUUACCCAGCAACAAAAAUAAAGAUCCUUUACUACUGAACUCACAGGGCUGUAACACUGAUACUCUACAGAGAGGACCAGGACGAUGCCAGCACCCUGUUGAUCCUGAGUGAACUCUCUGGAGGCCUCUUCAAGCUUGUGGGUUCUCUGCUGUCUUGAAGCCAUCCAUCCGUUUGACAUGUUUUGCAAAGACUUGGUCCUGCCAAGAUGGUUUUAAUCAUUUCAGCUAAAAGGAAUGGACUCAAGGAUUUCAUCUCAUUUUAGACGCAGUUGUCCUCAAUUGGCCAUUUUAUGGCACUUGUAGUAAAUAUGGCCAGUGUAUUUGGUCACUAUUAAAUCAAUCCCCAUUCAUUAUCCGUCAGGGCAAGUCAGUGAAGUAAAUACUAUGUUCUGACCUCUGGCACUCUUUCUCAUGUUGUUUAAAUAUUUAAUAUUGUCCAAGGCAAUUCAAGUAUUUUCUUAAAUAAAAAAUAUGAAAACUCUCA
rnacentral:lncRNA from 1 species